AGCAGCCGCGGUAAUUCCAGCUCCAAUAGCGUAUAUUAAAGUUGUUGCAGUUAAAAAGCUCGUAGUUGAACUUCGGGGUUUACUCAUUGGUCAGGCUUAAUUGUCUGUACUGGUGAGAUGAAUCUCUACCUUCUGAGGAACUUUUAUGCCAUUUAUUUGGUGUGAUGGGAAAUCAGGACUGUUACUUUGAAAAAUUAGAGUGUUUAAAGCAGGCUAACGUCUGAAUACAUUAGCAUGGAAUAAUGAAAUAGGACGGAUUGAUUCUAUUUCGUUGGUUUCUAGGGUCACCGUAAUGAUUAAUAGGGAUAGUUGGGGGCAUUAGUAUUCAAUUGUCAGAGGUGAAAUUC
rnacentral:rRNA from 1 species